UCCACCCGCGCAGCGAAAACCGGUGAAGACGCGUACAGCUCACGCCCCAUACCGAGCCACUGCGACCCCUGCCCCGGGAACACCAGGG
rnacentral:tRNA from 1 species